ACGGAAUCAAUAUGAACUGCACGCGACGAGGCGCUUUUCACAAACACGUUUUCACUUAAAAUAUAGAGAGAAAAUUUUCCAGUGAAUCGCGAGUGUCUGUUGCACGAUGGAUCGAUUGACAAAAGAGCACAAAUAAAACGGAAUAUCGAGGACCCAGCGGGUUGGUGGAAUUCGAAAAUCACAAUCAGGUUUAUUCAAGACUUGACCUCGCUAAGAUUCGCGCUGAGAAAAUUACAAAUCGAAAGGCGCGAAGAAAUGGAGAUUAAGGGUCAUAUAUUGUCCUGAAAGGACUUAUUAAUUUUUUUUCUUUUUUUUUGGAAUGAAGAAAACGAUUUAAAUUUAAGUGCUAACAAAUAUAAUGUUCGUGUUCAUUUAUCGAAGGCAAGCAACACCUCUAGGGGUGUCGCGAAAGUCAUGAGGACAUCAUUGAUCGUUAGGAUAAAAAUACAUAAAAUGUUACUAAUUCUAAUCUUUGCUCUUGUAACCACACUUCCAAUCAAGGGAUCAUUAUUACCUUACGAUGAAGAGGAUAAUGUUUUGCACAUUGGAGCAAUCUUUCCAAUUGCUGGAGAAGGUGGCUGGCAAGGUGGACAGUCUUGCAUGCCUGCUGCCAAUCUUGCGAUGGAAGAUGUUAAUCGAGAAAAGAAUUUACUAUCUGGUUUCACUUUGAGACUACAUUCUAAUGAUAGUGAGUGUGAGCCUGGACUGGGAGCGUCUGUCAUGUACAAUCUUCUUUACAAUAAGCCACAAAAGUUAAUGUUAUUAGCAGGAUGUAGUACAGUUUGUACAACUGUUGCAGAGGCGGCAAAAAUGUGGAAUUUAGUUGUACUUUGUUAUGGAGCCUCAUCUCCAGCGUUAUCUGAUCGAAAUCGAUUUCCCACACUCUUUAGAACACAUCCCUCAGCAACUGUUCACAAUCCUACAAGAAUAAAACUUCUACAAAAGUUUGGUUGGUCUCGAGUUGCACUUUUACAACAAGCAGAGGAAGUCUUCAUUUCGACUGUUGAAGAUCUCGAAGCUCGUUGUAAAGAAGCUGGAAUUGAAAUAGUCACUCGUCAAAGUUUUCUAUCCGAUCCAGCAGACGCAGUAAGGAAUCUACGACGUCAAGAUGCAAGAAUUAUAGUUGGUCUUUUUUACGUGGACGCAGCAAGACGGGUUCUCUGCGAGCUUUAUCAUCAAAAUAUUUAUGGAAAAAGUUAUGUCUGGUUUUUUAUAGGAUGGUACGAAGACAAUUGGUUUGAAGUUAAUUUAGAUAAAGAAAAUAUUGUUUGCACUAAAGAACAAAUGCGUCAGGCUGCUGAGGGUCAUAUGACCACUGAAGCCUUAAUGUGGAAUCAGAAUAAUGAGACUACAAUAAGUGGCAUGACUUCUGAAGAUUUUAGACAGCGACUCAAUAAAGUUUUGAGAGAAAAAAGAUUUGAUAUAGAUAAUAAUAGGUACCCUGCAGGAUAUCAGGAAGCACCUCUAGCCUAUGAUGCAAUUUGGGCAGUUGCUCUAGCAUUCAAUAAAUCAAUGGAAAAAUUGAAUAAACUAGGAAAGAGCCUAAAGAAUUUUACCUAUACUGAUAAAGAAAUAGCUGACGAAAUAUAUUCUGCCAUAAAUUCCACACAAUUUCUCGGUAUCUCGGGUUACGUUGCCUUCAGUUCUCAAGGUGAUCGAAUUGCCUUGACGCAAAUAGAACAAAUGAUUGACGGGAAAUAUGUAAAAUUAGGCUACUAUGAUACACAAGCUGAUAAUUUAACAUGGUUAAAUGCUGAACGAUGGAUUGGUGGAAAAAUUCCUCAAGAUAGAACAAUCGUAAAAAAUGUCUUAAGAACAGUUUCCCUGCCUCUUUUUAUAUGCAUGUGUACAAUUUCAUCCGUCGGCAUUGUCGUCGCCUUAUUACUCAUCAUUUUUAAUAUAUGGAAUAGAUAUAGAAGAGUGAUAAUGUCUUCACAUCCGGUGUGUAAUACCAUAAUGCUAGUUGGAGUAAUUGCAUGUUUCAUCUCAGUUUUUUUAUUGGGUAUUGAUGGCAGAUUUAUAGAACCUUCGGAAUAUCCAGGAAUAUGUCAAGCAAGAGCUUGGAUAUUAUCUAUUGGAUUUACUUUAGCAUUUGGAGCAAUGUUUAGCAAAGUAUGGAGAGUUCAUCGAUUAACAACGAAGACGAAAGCUGAUCAAGCCAAGUUAUUUAUGGCUAAACAGAAGAUUUCAUCUGUACAGAAGAAAAUUCAACCAUGGAAACUGUACACGAUGGUCACUGCCCUGGUAGUGAUUGACAUUGUCAUAUUGGGCUCUUGGCAGGGGCUGGAUCCGCUGCAAAGAAAAAUAGAAGAAUUUGCACUUGAAGCUCCAUUAGCAGGAGUAGAUGAUGAUGCCAGAAUAAGGCCUUUACUAGAACAUUGUGAAAGUGAAUAUAAUAACACUUGGUUUGGUAUAAUCUACGGAUAUAAAGGUUUAAUUUUGGUGUUUGGAUUAUUCUUGGCUUACGAAACUCGAAGUAUAAAGGUAAAACAAAUCAAUGACUCAAGAUAUGUUGGAAUGUCAAUCUACAAUGUCGUAGUUCUUUGUUUGAUUACGGCACCUGUAACAAUGGUCAUCGCUAGUCAGCAAGAUGCCAGUUUUGCCUUUGUCGCACUAGCCAUAAUUUUCUGCUGUUUCCUCAGCAUGGCAUUAAUUUUUGUUCCUAAAGUUAUUGAAGUCAUUAGACAUCCUAAAGAUAAAGCUGAAUCUAAAUACAAUCCUGACGUAGGAUUGUCUAAAGAAGAUGAAGAAAGGUAUCAGAAGCUACUUACGGAGAAUGAUGAACUUCAAAGGCUCAUAGCAGCGAAAGAAGAAAAAAUAAGAGUAUUGAAGCAAAGGCUAGCAGAAAAGGACGCUUCUAAAGGCGGCAGCGCAGGAGCCAAGGACUCGCUGAUUGUUGCAGAUUUCGUCACAGGAGAAGGAACUUCCGACAGUGCAAUUGGUGGGGGCAUUUCCGUUCACACAAGAUCCUCUCGAGCCUCCGCUUCGGACUUCGAAUUUUCAGAAUCAUACUUGUAAAAACUGCUCCCAUUGCUAUCAUAAACACCGUAAACAAUAAACAUCUUUCGUUAGAAGAAACGGCUGAUUAGAUGACAUCGGCUGAUAAUAGAAGACAUCGACUGAGCAAAAAAAAGAAUUAUGUAGAUGAUAAAGCAAGUUGGAGGAGCAGCAUUCUAAAAUUAAACUUUGUCGAUUAACGUGCCACGUGGAUUUUAGUCCUGGUGGAUUCUAGUCCUCAAUUAUAAGAAACUUGUUCAAACUUAAGGAUACCUGAUUUUUCGUAUCAACGACAGUUAAAGAUAAGUCUUCGAGUGUUUGUGCAAUAUAGAAAGUCGUGUGAAUAGGUCCUGCGACACUUUUUGACAUAUUAACGCGAUUUGACUGCGAUUUGUCAUGCCACUGUAGAAUACGUGUAUAUCCUAGAACUGAAAAUUGUUUAGGCGAAAUGAAAAUUCUACAAGUUCGUUCGUGUUUAAAUGAAUAUUUACGUUUGUUUUGUGAGAGGAAAGUGUGUAGAGAAAUAUUAUUCUUAUCAAUUAAAUUAGUUUUUUUUUGUUUUUCAUUUUCAACUAUAUAUCUUGUACAUUUUUAAUUUUCUACUACUUUUCCGAAAUUCAGUGAAAUAUUCAAUUAUGGAAGAGUCUUAUCGAAACUUGAAAGAAAGUACCUUAUACAUACAUAAUUAUAUAUAUGUACGUUAGACGAUGGAAAUAUUUAUUUAAAGUUUUGAACUAUAAAAUUGGUUGAAGGAA